AUUGAACGCUGGCGGCAUGCCUUACACAUGCAAGUCGAACGGUAACAGGUCUUCGGAUGCUGACGAGUGGCGAACGGGUGAGUAAUACAUCGGAACGUGCCUAGUAGUGGGGGAUAACUACUCGAAAGAGUGGCUAAUACCGCAUGAGAUCUACGGAUGAAAGCAGGGGAUCGCAAGACCUUGUGCUACUAGAGCGGCCGAUGGCAGAUUAGGUAGUUGGUGGGAUAAAAGCUUACCAAGCCGACGAUCUGUAGCUGGUCUGAGAGGACGAUCAGCCACACUGGGACUGAGACACGGCCCAGACUCCUACGGGAGGCAGCAGUGGGGAAUUUUGGACAAUGGGCGUAAGCCUGAUCCAGCAAUGCCGCGUGCAGGAUGAAGGCCUUCGGGUUGUAAACUGCUUUUGUACGGAACGAAAAGCCCUGGGUUAAUACCCUGGAGUCAUGACGGUACCGUAAGAAUAAGCACCGGCUAACUACGUGCCAGCAGCCGCAGUAA
rnacentral:rRNA from 1 species